UACGAAGGGGGCUAGCGUUGUUCGGAAUUACUGGGCGUAAAGCGCGUGUAGGUGGUUGUCGUAGUCAGGCGUGAAAGCCUUGAGCUCAACUCAAGAAAUGCGCUUGAUACUGGGCAGCUAGAGGACCGGAGAGGAUAGUGGAAUUCCCAGUGUAGUGGUGAAAUACGUAGAGAUUGGGAAGAACACCAGUGGCGAAGGCGGCUAUCUGGACGGUUUCUGACACUAAGACUCGAAAGCGUGGGGAGCAAACAGG
rnacentral:rRNA from 1 species